AAUAGAUACCCAGGUAGUCCACGCCGUAAACGAUGAAUGCUAGGUGUUAGGGGUUUCGAUACCCUUGGUGCCGAAGUUAACACAUUAAGCAUUCCGCCUGGGGAGUACGGUCGCAAGACUGAAACUCAAAGGAAUUGACGGGGACCCGCACAAGCAGUGGAGUAUGUGGUUUAAUUCGAAGCAACGCGAAGAACCUUACCAGGUCUUGACAUCCCUCUGACCGGUGUAGAGAUACACCUUUCCUUCGGGACAGAGGAGACAGGUGGUGCAUGGUUGUCGUCAGCUCGUGUCGUGAGAUGUUGGGUUAAGUCCCGCAACGAGCGCAACCCUUGAUCUUAGUUGCCAGCACUUCGGGUGGGCACUCUAAGGUGACUGCCGGUGACAAACCGGAGGAAGGUGGGGAUGACGUCAAAUCAUCAUGCCCCUUAUGACCUGGGCUACACACGUACUACAAUGGCCGGUACAACGGGCCGCGAAGCCGCGAGGUGGAGCUAAUCCUAAAAAGCCGGUCUCAGUUCGGAUUGCAGGCUGCAACUCG
rnacentral:rRNA from 1 species